UACGGGGGGGGCAAGCGUUGUUCGGAAUUACUGGGCGUAAAGGGCUCGUAGGCGGCCAACUAAGUCAGACGUGAAAUCCCCCGGCUUAACCAGGGAACUGCGUCUGAUACUGGAUGGCUUGAGUUUGGGAGAGGGAUGCGGAAUUCCAGGCGUAGCGGUGAAAUGCGUAGAUAUCUGGAGGAACACCGGUGGCGAAGGCGACAUCCUGGACCAACACUGACGCUGAGUGAGCGAAAGCCAGGGGAGCAAACGGG
rnacentral:rRNA from 1 species